ACCCCGGCCCAGCUCGCCGCGGGGCAAGCCGGGCUAGAGAGCUGGAGGACGUUCAGGUCCUAUUGGGAAAGACCGGGGUCCCUAACUCUUUAGAGUGAUCAGCCGUCCCCUCCCCCAGCCCUGCGGGAGAGGCAGCCAAGGUUUAGGGCAACAAACCCCUCCCUGGGCUUGAGGGUCCCUCCAAAGGUUAAGCCAGGGCAGACAUUGAUGUCAAAACCGGUCUGCGUCUCGGGGUGCAGGUGCCUGUACUACUCCCAGAAAGUCGCGCCCCUCCCCCAACCCCCUUGCUGCAGUCGGGAGGACAAAGGUCUAUCGAUGUCCGUACCCUCCCCCAGGGAAGACAGCCGGGGAAGACCUGCCACUGUUGGGUACAGGACCCUAUGUGUUUGCAAGACUGAUGAAUGGACUCUCUUGGCUGUGGGCAGCACCUCCAGGUCCCUUCAGGGAUAUGGGCUCAAGCCACACAAGAGGAAGAAAACC
rnacentral:lncRNA from 1 species